AACAUGCUUAAAAUGUACUUCAGCUCGAUACAAGUAGACGUCCGGAUCUAGUGUUGGUAUAAGCGAGUGCUCGUCUAGUUAAUUAAAUAAGUUUACGUUCGUGUUAAAAAAACAACAACGUAUUUUGUAGAGAACUGAGGAAUAAGUGAUUAUCUUAAAAAUGAAAUCGGGUUUUUUCUUCGUCUUUGGCGUAAUUAUGUUCGCCUUUGCAAGUAUAAAUGCACGGAAAUGUCCGGCAAAGGAUCUUGUUGCAUGUUUUGUAGACCCAUGUCAAGGCUGGGUUUGUACGGAACCAGAAGGACUUACCUGCAGAGCCAACUAUUGUGGCGGAUGCAACCAAGAGUGGUACACAAGCCCAACAUCUAAAGUACGUGUUCCUUGUGUGAUAAAGAUAUAUCAAGGGAUUGGAGACGUUUCAGACUCGUGAGAGCGGUCAAAUGGUUGAGGUGGCAUCCCGCCUCUCACCGGUGUGGUGUUAAGUUACUGUAAUGACAUCGAAAUUAUAUUAAUUAUUACUGAGUUUCUUUUUUAUUAUUUUUUUCAUCUAAAAGUUUAUUUAUUUUAAAUUCAUGGAAGCGAUUCGGAACCAAAAACAAUAUAAAACAGUUUUUUACGUACGUGUAUACGUUAUGUACAUACUUGUUUUAAACUUACCAAUAGCUAUUGACGUCAAUACAUAAUUAUGCCAUACCUUUAUAUACAUCUUAUUUAAUUGUCUUUUUGGGAAAUAAAACAAAUCCAAACACUUA